UGUAUGUAUAGCCUGUAGAAGAAAAAGAAAAAGAGAUUUCAAAAUCAAAAUAAAAAGAUUUAAGAGAGUUUUAGUUUGUCGAGCUUCUUCCCCUUCCCAGAGUUAGUUACACAAAGAUGAUGAUCCGUUCAAGAAGCGCAGCUACAACCGCCGUUAGAUCCUUGGGCUACCUCCGCCACUCUUCCGCACUCGUUCACUCUCCACUCCUCUCCGGCGCCACCGCCACCCCCGUCCGCCACUUCACCUCUCCCGGCAACAGCUACCAAAUCAAGCCGCCGGUGAACUGGGGAAUCCGAAUCGUCCCGGAGAAGAGAGCGUGCGUGAUUGAGCGGUUCGGCAAAUACGUCAAGACUCUGGAGUCAGGGAUCCACUUCCUCGUCCCCGGCGUGGACCGUAUCGCGUAUGUGCAUUCGCUCAAGGAGGAAGCGAUUCCGAUUGGGAACCAGACUGCGAUUACGAAGGAUAACGUCAGCAUCCACAUCGAUGGUGUUCUUUACGUCAAGAUUGUGAAUCCGCAUCUGGCGUCUUACGGCGUUGAGAAUCCGAUCUACGCUGUUAUGCAGUUGGCUCAGACCACUAUGCGGAGUGAACUUGGGAAGAUUACUCUUGACAAGACUUUUGAGGAACGAGAUGCGUUGAAUGUCAAGAUUGUGGAAGCCAUCAAUGUUGCUGCUAAAGAUUGGGGUCUUGAGUGCCUUCGUUAUGAGAUAAGGGAUAUCAUGCCUCCUAAUGGAGUGAGGGUUGCUAUGGAAAUGCAAGCUGAAGCUGAACGUAAAAAGAGAGCCCAGAUUCUCGAGUCUGAAGGAGAACGCCAAGCCCAUAUCAACAUAGCUGAUGGUAAGAAGAGUUCUGUAAUCUUGGAAUCAGAAGCUGCAAAGAUGGACCAAGUCAAUCGAGCAUCAGGCGAGGCAGAAGCAAUAUUAGCUAGAGCACAAGCAACAGCGAGGGGGUUGACCAUGUUAUCUCAAUCCCUCAAGGAAACUGGUGGAGUGGAGGCUGCGAGUUUGAGAGUUGCUGAGCAAUACAUUCAAGCUUUUGGGAACAUCGCCAAGGAGGGUACAACGAUGCUGCUUCCGAGUUCAGCUGCAAAUCCUGCAAACAUGAUCGCUCAAGCCUUGACAAUGUACAAAAGCCUCGUCCCCAACGGUGGUAUCCAAGAAACUUCAGCUGUGGAAUCCUCGUCUAAAGCGAAAUAGAAGUGGUGGUGGUGGUAGAAGAGCUAGGAACAAUGAUAAUUCUUUUGAUCUAUAAUCGAUGUAACAAUAUCCCUUUGUCGUUUGAUUGCUAUGGUGGAGUGACUAACUCUUGUGACAAGGAUAAGAAACUGUUCCUAGAGGAAGAACGGCGUAGGUCGUUGACAGACAAGAGCCUCGAAGAAUCUAAUGGUGACAUGAACAUU